rnacentral:rRNA from 1 species
GCAUCUUAAGUGAAAUCGAGUAGGUCGGAGCACGUGAAACUUUGACUGAAUAUAGGUGGACCAUCAUCUAAGGCUAAAUACUCCCAACUGACCGAUAGUGAACCAGUACCGUGAGGGAAAGGCGAAAAGAACCCCUGUGAGGGGAGUGAAAUAGAACCUGAAACCGUGUACGUACAAGCAGUAGGAGCCCUUCGAGGGUGACUGCGUACCUUUUGUAUAAUGGGUCAGCGACUUAUAUUUUGUAGCGAGGUUAACCGAUUAGGGUAGCCGUAGGGAAACCGAGUCUUAACUGGGCGUAUAGUUGCAAGGUAUAGACCCGAAACCCGGUGAUCUAGCCAUGGGCAGGUUGAAGGUUGAGUAACAUCAACUGGAGGACCGAACCCACUAACGUUGAAAAGUUAGGGGAUGACCUGUGGCUAGGAGUGAAAGGCUAAUCAAACCGGGAGAUAGCUGGUUCUCCCCGAAAUCUAUUUAGGUAGAGCCUCGGACGAAUACUUACGGGGGUAGAGCACUGUUAAGGCUAGGGGGUCAUCCCGACUUACCAACCCUUUGCAAACUCCGAAUACCGUAAAGUACUAUCCGGGAGACACACGGCGGGUGCUAACGUCCGUCGUGAAGAGGGAAACAACCCAGACCGCCAGCUAAGGUCCCAAAGUCAUAGUUAAGUGGGAAACGAUGUGGAAAGGCCCAGACAGCCAGGAGGUUGGCUUAGAAGCAGCCAUCCUUUAAAGAAAGCGUAAUAGCUCACUGGUCGAGUCGGUCUGCGCGGAAGAUGUAACGGGGCUAAACUAUGCACCGAAGCUGCGGAUUCAAA